UACGGAGGGGGUUAGCGUUGUUCGGAAUGACUGGGCGUAAAGCGCGCGUAGGCGGAUCGGAAAGUCGGGGGUGAAAUCCCGGGGCUCAACCCCGGAAUGGCCUUCGAAACUCCCGGUCUUGAGUUCGAGAGAGGUGAGUGGAAUUCCGAGUGUAGAGGUGAAAUUCGUAGAUAUUCGGAGGAACACCAGUGGCGAAGGCGGCUCUCUGGCUCGACACUGACGCUGAGGUGCGAAAGCGUGGGGAGCAAACAGG
rnacentral:rRNA from 1 species